rnacentral:rRNA from 2 species
ACAAGCGGUGGAGCAUGUGGUUUAAUUCGAAGCAACGCGAAGAACCUUACCAGGGCUUGACAUCCCUCUGACAGUCCCUUAACCGGGACCUUCUUCAGACAGAGGAGACAGGUGGUGCAUGGUUGUCGUCAGCUCGUGUCGUGAGAUGUUGGGUUAAGUCCCGCAACGAGCGCAACCCUUGUCUUUAGUUGCCAUCAUUCAGUUGGGCACUCUAGAGAGACUGCCGAGGACAACUCGGAGGAAGGUGGGGAUGACGUCAAAUCAUCAUGCCCCUUAUGUCCUGGGCUACACACGUGCUACAAUGGCUGGUACAAAGAGACGCAAGACCGCGAGGUGGAGCAAAUCUCAAAAACCAGUCCCAGUUCGGAUUGUAGGCUGCAACUCGCCUGCAUGAAGUCGGAGUUGCUAGUAAUCGCAGAUCAGAAUGCUGCGGUGAAUGCGUUCCCGGGUCUU